rnacentral:tRNA from 1 species
ACAAAAAAAAGGGGGUAUGGCGGAAUUGGUAGACG